UUUCCGUAGGUGAACCUGCGGAAGGAUCAUUGUCGAGACCCAAAAGAGAUCGAGCGAUUUGACAACUUGUGAAUUAUUUUGGCAGCACAAUUUUGUUGCUGCACACCCAUCCAUCUGUUGCAUGAACUACCCAAUGGGACCAUGUCACAGGCGGAGGGGAGAUCAAUUGGGCGCAGUUUUGUGCCAAGGAAAAUAUGCAACAUGAGCAGCUUCAACCACAUCCUCAAAACGUGCUAUGUUUUGUGGAGUUGUUGUUUGCUCCUCGAGAAUUGUAGGACUCUCGGCAAUGGAUAUCUUGGCUCUUGCAUCGAUGAAGAGCGCAGCGAAAUGCGAUACGUGGUGCGAAUUGCAGAAUCCCGUGAACCAUCGAGUUUUUGAACGCAAGUUGCGCCCGAGGCCAGCUGGCCAAGGGCACGUCCGCCUGGGCGUCAAGCAUUGAAUCGCUCCAUUAGACACCAGACCAUCCGUGCUAUGCGAUGGUGUCUUGGGUGCGGAGAAUGGCCCGUCAUGCGUGAUGUGUGGCGGGUUGAAGAGCUGGAUGAUUUUCUCUUGGCAAUGAUCGAUUAAUGGGUGGGAUGGAAGCCCCAGUUGCCCUCCUCAUCGUCAUUUGCUUUGAGAAACUGCAAAUAUCCCGGGAUAACCCAACUCAAGUGUCGGAGGAACAUUGAAAUGCGACCCCAGGAUGGGCGGGGUGACCC
rnacentral:rRNA from 1 species